rnacentral:rRNA from 1 species
CUCGUAGGCGGUCCGUUGCGUCUGCCGUGAAAACCCGGAGCUCAACUCCGGGCCUGCGGUGGAUACGGGCGGACUAGAGUCCGGUAGGGGAGACUGGAAUUCCUGGUGUAGCGGUGGAAUGCGCAGAUAUCAGGAGGAACACCGGUGGCGAAGGCGGGUCUCUGGGCCGGAACUGACGCUGAGAAGCGAAAGCGUGGGGAGCGAACA